rnacentral:sRNA from 1 species
GAUGCCAGGGUCAAAAGGUCGAAAAUCCGAUGUAAGCUUGCUUGCAAGAGGAUUUUCGAUCUUGGGACCCGCCAAAAACAUGAAUAAGCAGCCAUUUUUCGCAGAAAAAUGAGCGGAUUAUGAAUGUUUUGAGGUUUAUGGA